ACUCGGGGGGUCUCGAGCUGGAGGGCCGUGUCCCCCGCCCCGGGGCCGGGUGGUGCGCGCAGGAGGAGGACCCAGAAGCGGGCUCUGCCUGGGCUUGCCUGGGCUUGUUCAGAGCCUGGCUGCUUCCCUCCGUGACCGCGCAGAUCCGCGGGGAUUUCGAGAUUUUGCGGGAGCUGCCGCCGAGCCCCGGGAGGAGGGGGCUGGAAGCCCGCGCGGCUUGUCGCCUCGUCCCACGGUGAGCGCAGUGCAGGCACAGGUGGCUCCUGAAAUUCAGGAAAAACAGGGGUGCUCUCUGCCCCUCUGGGAAAGCUGGUUCCCCUCAACCUGGACAGAUGAUAAUUUUUGAGGCUGAAAACAUCCAAUGUGAGAUCCCCCACUCUUAAGGCAGGUUUCUCUCUGCCGGGCCUCUAACCUGGAUGGACGUCACUCACAGAUCUGGACAGGUCCCCGAAGUUCCUCUGGACCACCACCACCUUCCUGCCGCGGGGUCUGGUUUUCUGGAGGUCAGUGCAAGAGCAGAAAAAUUCCUUCCAGCUUCUCACAUCAUUGUGAAACACAAGAAGACACCUAACUAAGGUUGGUGGUAAAAAUUGUGGUAAAAAUCAUCGGAUUCCUCUCCAAGCCUGGCAGGGGAGGGAGUGUGGGGUGCAAAGCUGUGACUCGUUCCCAGCACCACCGUUCUGCCCCCAGAUCGGGCAUUUUAAAAAUGCUUGUUCUCAUGGUUCAGAACUGCUCACAGUUAUAAUUGGGUGAGGCUGUGAUUUC